UACAUGAUGCAAAUAUACAUGAUACAAACAUGAUACAAACAUACAUGGCACAAACAGAUGAUACAAACAUACAUGAUGCAAAUAAACAUGAUACAAACAUGAUACAAACAUACAUGACUCAAACAGAUGAUACAAACAUACCUGAUACUAACAUGAUACAAACAUACCUGAUACUAACAUGAUACAAACAUACAUGAUUCAAACAUGAUACAAACAUUCAUGAUAUAAUCAUGAUACAAACAUACAUGAUACAAACACAUGAUGCAAGGGGGUAAAAGUUAGGUUAUCAGCAACGUUCUAUUUCUUGUGAAAAUCUGCUACCAAAACGAUUUUCGUAAAAUCUUGUCCUAUGGCAUAAAUACAAUUUUUUCACAGGAUGUUUUCCUGAUGUUCGAGCCGAGACAUUUUGAUUGUGAUAAUGCAUUUUGGGAAAUCAUGCUUUUUGUAUGAGGAAGUUGUUGGUUCAAAUCGGAAAGUUGAAAUAUGUUUCCUAAUGGACGUGAGGCAUUCACAAAACAUGAAUAUGAAACUGAUGUAAUUUAGUAAGCCAUUGCUAAAAAAUUUCCCAGUUUUGAAACAGUGUUAACUCAAGUUUACUAGCACCAUGGCUGUGCUUGUGGGUUUCACCAAAGUGGUAAACCUCCAAGACCUGCAUCACUUCAGGCUGUCCUCCCACCUUAAGCUUACACGCUGCAAUAUAAUUAGAAUACUGUUCAAAGUGGCGUUUCAUCUAUAGACAUGGCUUAGAUGUUUCAUGAGACAAUCAAGAUUAGAGCUUUUGCCUGCUGUAACACAUUAAUACAUGACAGAUAUCAAGCUGCAUACCCCAUGUACAGAUAUUGAUAUGGCUCACAUCGGUUCUUCAGCAAGGUCUCCCAGAAACCUUGGUUAUGAAUUUGAAAAGCUCUCAAUGUUGUUUUUAGAUCUUUUAAAAGCAUUUAUGGUAAAGCACAUUAUGUGAUUGUUGUGUUUUGCUCCAGCCAGGUUACACGGUGAUCUGUCUAUGGCUUAUAUGAAAUUUACCUAAACAUAUGAUACUUUCAAGAAUAUGAUAAGUAACGUGAUAUUACUCUUAUAGAGAAUCUGUGAUAGUAAGUUGCUGAUAGAUAAUAAUGACUACUGCUUAAAAUAGGUGUUGAAAAUGGUGUCUAUUAAUCCCAACUAAAGCUACUAUCGACACUUGAUGUGGUAGCAGCCCAGACAGAGCUGCAACUAUGUAAGAUUGUUCCGAUAGGCAGGCUGUUGGAAUGUUCUGAUAGGCAGGGUCUUGGAAUUUCCAACAGGCAGGCUGUUGGAAUGUUCCGAUAGGCAGGGUCUUGGAAUUUCCGAUAUCCAGGCUGUUGGAAUGUUCUGAUAGGCAGGGUCUUGGAAUUUCCAAUAGGCAGGCUGUUGGAAUGUUCCGAUAGGCAGGGUCUUGGAAUUCCGAUAUCCAGGCUGUUGGAAUGUUCCGAUAGGCAGGGUCUUGGAAUUUCUGAUAUCCAUGCUGUUGGAAUGUUCCGAUAGGCAGGGUCUUGGAAUUUCCGAUAUCCAGGCUGUUGGAAUGUUCCGAUAGGCAGGGUCUUGGAAUGUUCCGAUAUCCAGGCUGUUGGAAUGUUUCGAUAGGCAGGGUCUUGGAAUGUUCUGAUAUCCAGGCUGUUCGAAUGUUCCGAAAGGCAGGCGGUUGUAAUGUUCUGAUAUGCAGGCUUUUGGAAUUUUUUGAUAGGUAGGCUGCUGGAAUGUUCUGAUAGGUGAGUCGUCAGAAUGUUCAGAUAGGUGCGCCGUCAGAAUGUUCAGAUGGGCAGGCUGUUAGAAUGUUGAUAUGUGCAGGCUCUAUGGCCACACUAAGAUAGUGCUCUGGAAGCUGACACAUCUGUGUGGUAGAUGGUCACGUGGAGCUGCAACUAUGUUAGAAUGUUCAGAUAGAAUGCUGUAAACUGACACAUCUGUGUGGUAGAUGGUCACGUGGAGCUGCAACUAUGUUAGAAUGUUCAGAUAGAAGGCUGUAAACUGACACAUCUAUGUGGUAGAUGAUCAUGCUGAGCUGCAACUAUGUUAGAAUGUUCAGAUGUGCUGGCUGUUGUAUAGCAGAUUCUAUCCACACUGAUAUUUAUAUAUAAGCAUUAUUUGGGAUAUCUAUGCUAAACUUGUUUUAUGAUUUCUCAGAUCACAGUGCAAUAAUUCAGUUCAACCUAGUUUUGUAUCUAGUCUUUCCUAAAUCAAAACAAAGAAAUAAAGUGUAUAUUCUGAUAA
rnacentral:lncRNA from 1 species